rnacentral:misc_RNA from 1 species
AGCGCACCUUGCACCCUUUGGUAUUCCGAAGGGUAUGCCUGUUUGAGUGUCAUUAAAUUCUCAACUUCAAAGACUUUGUUGUCUUUUGAAGCUUGGACUGUGGAGGCUUUGCCGGCGUCAUUGUCAGCUCCUCUUGAAUGCAUUAACAGAACUUUUUAAAGACUAAGCUUUGGUUUGAUAAUAUAUCUAUGCCGUCGCUGUGACUUUCUGUUCAGCUCACAAUUGUCUUCGGACUGUCUCUUUCGAGGCAUGAAUACAUAAGGUUGACCUCAAAUCAGGUAGGAUUACCCGCUGAACUUAA